AGCAGCCGCGGUAAUUCCAGCUCCAAUAGCGUAUAUUAAAGUUGUUGCAGUUAAAAAGCUCGUAGUUGAAUUUCGAGAUCAAAUUGUUGGUCGUGCCUUGGUACGUACUGGCAUUAUUGGUUUCUCCCUUCUGAAGAACCAUGAUGUCAUUAAUUUGGUGUCAUGGGGAAUCAGGACUGUUACUUUGAAAAAUUAGAGUGUUUAAAGCAGGCUCGCGCUUGAAUACAUUAGCAUGGAAUAAUGAAAUAGGACGUUUAAUUCUAUUUUGUUGGUUUCUAGGAUUGACGUAAUGAUUAAUAGGGAUAGUUGGGGGCAUUAGUAUUCAAUUGUCAGAGGUGAAAUUCUUGGAUUUAUUGAAGACUAACUACUGCGAAAGCAUUUGCCAAGGAUGUUUUCAUUAAUCAAGAACGAAAGUUAGGGGAUCGAAGACGAUCAGAUACCGUCGUAGUC
rnacentral:rRNA from 1 species